rnacentral:rRNA from 1 species
UGCGCAGGUGGCUUGUUAAGAUCGAUGUGAAAGCCCCGGGCUCAACCUGGGAACUGCAUUGAUGACUGGCUCGCUAGAGUACGGCAGAGGGGGGUGGAAUUCCACGUGUAGCAGUGAAAUGCGUAGAGAUGUGGAGGAACACCGAUGGCGAAGGCAACCCCCUGGGCUGAUACUGACACUCAUGCACGAAAGCGUGGGAGGCAAACA